GGUACAGGCAAAUUAAAAAAAUUCAGGAGACAUGUAUGAUUAAGUAGAUGACAAGUGAAGAGUUUGCUGGAUUAGAAAAAGAGCAUGGCUAAGCAAUGGCCAGCAGAUCUGUCCUUUAAUUUUUCUCCCAUGAUGGGAUGUGAGACACUACAGCUCAGAAGAGGUUCAUGUAUAAUAUUUGGCCAUAGAGAGUGUUUCUGGCUCUAUCAAAACUCUAGGAAGAUAAUGCCUGAAAAUUAUGCUGCAUACCAAGUGUUAAGGUGGGAAUCUUGGCAUAUGUAAUGGAUAGAAAUCCUGGUCUGUGCUGAGUUUACCUCUAGUCUGGAUGAUCUCAGGAUACCCGAGAACAUCAUGGCGCAUAUCCACACAUCACUUCAGAUGCAGCCCAAGGAAGUCUCUGUCUUCAGAAUGAAAGAGGUAGGUACCAACAGAUG
rnacentral:lncRNA from 12 species